rnacentral:rRNA from 1 species
CAAUAGCGUAUAUUAAAGUUGUUGCGGUUAAAAAGCUCGUAGUUGGAUUUCUGCCGAGGACGACCGGUCCGCCCUCUGGGUGAGUAUCUGGCUCGGCCUGGGCAUCUUCUUGGAGAACGUAGCUGCACUUGACUGUGUGGUGCGGUAUCCAGGACUUUUACUUUGAGGAAAUUAGAGUGUUUCAAGCAGGCUUACGCCUUGAAUACAUUAGCAUGGAAUAAUAAGAUAGGACCUCGGUUCUAUUUUGUUGGUUUCUAGAGCUGAGGUAAUGAUUAAUAGGGAUAGUUGGGGGCAUUCGUAUUUAACUGUCAGAGGUGAAAUUCUUGGAUUUGUUAAAGACGGACUACCGCGAAAGCAUUUGCCAAGGAUGUUUUCAUUGA